ACAAACCUCGGGCUGCAGUCUGAGCAGGAGAGCCUGCGGAACUUGUACCCAGGGGGCAACAGGUUAAAGAUUCCACGUGUGACACACGCUGCCCAAGGGCAGAUUCUGUCCUUUUCUUAAUCGUUGAUUCCCAAGGAUUUAAUGUGUGUAUGUGCUUUGUGACCCAUUGGACUAUAGCCCUCUAGGAUCCUCUGUCCAUGGGCUCCUCCAGGCAAGAAGACCGGAGUGGGUUGCCAUUUCCUUCUCCAGGGGAUCUUCCCUACCCAGGGAUCGAACGUGCGUCUCCUGCAUAUCAGGCUGAUUCUUUACCCACUGGGCCUCCCAGGGCUUAAUGGGAGGACUUAAUGGAAAGUAGUUAGACAAGUUGAACAGACUAACCUCACCCAGGGGCACAGACUGUGCACUGACCUCCUGGUUGUCUUCUCUAGCUGUGUUCUGUGGGGACCCCGGCAUCCCUGCUGAGGGGCGCCUCAGUGGCAAGAACUUCACCUACAGAUCUGAAGUCUUCUUCCAGUGCAAGUCCCCCUUCCUCCUGGUGGGGUCGUCCCGGAGAGUCUGCCAGGCAGACGGCACCUGGAGUGGCGUCCAGCCCACCUGCAUCGAUCCUGCUCAUAACACCUUCCCAGACCCUGGUACUCCAUAGUUUGGAAUACAGAAGAGUUCAGGAGGAUAUGAGGUUGGAAGCAUGGUGGUUUUCCGGUGCCGAAAAGGUUACCACGUUCAAGGCUCUACAACUCGAACUUGCCUGGCGAACCUGACAUGGAGUGGCAUCCAGACAGAGUGCAUCCGUAAGUGUGACCCUGUGCAAGGGCAGGGCCUGUCCGCUCUCCUGCAGCUGGAAGAAUUCACCUUCCUGAGAAACAUUGAGGGGCUGAUUUUUGUCUCUUUCCAUUCCCUAAACUCAUUUCUCAGAGUCUGAUUCCUUAGAACCAGCAGCAGCAGCAGCACCCGGAAUUUGGCUGAAGUUCGAAUGUUGAGUCCCAUCCUGCACACACCUGCAGUA